UCGAGGUAAUACUUUCCACAGUUCAAAGGUUAAGGCGCAUUCGGUUCUACAUAGAGCUCUAGCUCGUCAUCAGCACCGCUCCCUUUUUUUUUUUUCUUUUCAAAUUAUCUUGACCUGAGAGAGGUUAAUGCUCCCUUACAAUGCAAAUCCACGAGAUAAGCGAUUUUAGGUGCCGAGAAAUGAAACUGGGAUGAGAGGAAAACACCGACAGCGAUCAAGAACCAUUUCGCCGUAGAAAUAAGCCUCUCCAGAACGCAAGAAACUAAGGUUUUGUCCAAAGAACCUGCCGCCCGGAAGCCACAACUUCCAGCAAUUGGCAAAGAAAAGUUACAAAGCCCGACGGCCGCCCGGCGGUGCUGCGAGCUCUUCCCACCUCUUCCCCGCCCCGCCCACUCCCUAGCUUUCCUGAUUGGCGAGAAACACUACUACAGGAACAGCAGUUGUCGCAUCGCACUCGCCAGUCCAGCCGCCGCUCAGAGUUACCCCCACCUUCACCCCGCCCCCUUUCCUGGGUUGGUCCUACCUCUAAUCACUCUCCGUCUUCUACUCUAUCGUUGCUUUGGAGAACUGGCAGUCAAGGCUCACCCUCCCGCCUCCGGAAAGCGAACUUUAUUUUUAUUGGUAAAAGGACAUCUUCCUGUGCACCUGAUUGGGCAAGGAAGGAGUUAGUCUGCACGCCCCUUACCCAUUAUCGCUCUCUCUCUUUACGGGUUUGAGAAACGGCCGCAAAGUCCUCCCCCCUAUUUUGCCUUGUUCUAAGCGCCUUUCCCUUUAAAUAUUGGUAGGGGUGGUGGACAAACUCACAGCCUGUGUUGGAGAAAGACGGAAAGGGAGAAGAGAAAAUUUCAAAAUCUUCUCCAGAUGAGUAAUAUAUCGGGAACUGGAGCUGGGAUACUGCGGAAUCUCAUCCUUCGGUCUACUGAAUGGAGUGGUUAGAAUGAGAAUACCUGAAAUUCUAGUACUAACUUCUGAGAUGCACUCAACAAAUUUUCACUCACCGUCCACUCUACUCCUACUGUCGAUCCCACUGGCAUUUCGCUACUCCAGAGAGCUUUAAUAAAAGUAUCUGUAAA